rnacentral:tRNA from 1 species
GGAUAUGGCUCAGUGGUAGAGCGCUUGCCUACCAUGUGCAAGGCACUUGGGUUCAAUUCUUAGCACCA